rnacentral:lncRNA from 1 species
AUUUUCCAGAUAAACAACUCCCUGCACCCUACUUAUCUCUUUAGAAAAUGUAGUCUGCUUAUCCCUUGGAAAUGAUGCCUGUCCUGAUUUAGAAUUGUAUAGAAUGGGAUUUUGAUCUUCUUUUGACUGAAAAUAUUGGAGACAUCUGUCUGUUUAAGACCUGCCGUCAUUAAUUCCCUAUCAAUUCUCUUGUGACUAGUUGAAUUUGUUGACUUUU